GUGAGACUGUGAAUUCUUCAAAAGCAGGUACUGUGUUUAAUGAAGUGUGCCCAGGACUUUGCUCAGUGACUGGAUGACACAGUAGGAGUAACAAGAAAGUUCACAUGGGUGAACCGUGGUAGGUGGACAUCGUCUCUCUCACCUCUUCCCAAAUCAAGGAUGAAGUACAUCUUCAUAAAUCCUCAUGUGAAUUAUUUUGCUACCUCUAGAAGCAUUUUCUAAAACAAGGUGCAGCAAUCAGUUGAGUGAAUUUGUCACCAGAGCUUAUGUUUUCUGAAAGAACCCUAUCCUCAGGCAGUUGUUCCUAAGAGGUGAGUUGUGGAUUUAGUUCACAUACCUUCCUUCGUGGCUUAAAAUGCUCCACAUGCCUGUCUCCCCAACAGCAUCAGAUCACCAUGCAGUAAAAUACCAAGUCAGAACAGCCAAUGCUGAAAAGAGUGACAGUUUCCUUUCAUGAUGCAAUGCACUUGGAGCCAGGGGACAGGGAGACAAUAACUGCAAGGAGAAGUGAUGACAACCCUACUUUAAUAUAGUAGUUCCUUUUGAAUUUUAUAGACUUACCCGUUAAUCUCUAGAAUUUUGAAAAAAUUCCUUAAGUGAUGUGAGCAAAUAACACUUUGCCUUGGGUUAGCCUUUUCCUUUCCCUUGAAGAUUCCACAAAUAUGUCAGCGCUGGAAAUGAUCCUUUGGCUUUGAACUAUGUGAAGACUGCAGAAGGACUGGUUGGUAAGCACCCACAUCCUGGGGUGAGAAUCACAUCCAGUUUAUACCUCCCUGUGCACACUUGUAUAAAACAACUAUAAGACACACGAGAGAUCUGGAAGCCAGUUCCUCAUAAGUAAGAAUUGGUCAGGCUGCAUUUGUAUCCUGGGUCCACAAGACAUCGUUUCCUUAAAACCAAUCCCCCUGAUUUUGCUAAGUGUCUGCAAGCCUAAUAUUUCAUGGAUGUUUGACAAGGACCCCGUCUUUAGCUGAACUAAGGAGAAAGUCCUGCAACACACACAUGGAGCUCAGCAAACGGAGGAUGUAACGCACAUGAAAUUUGGUGCUGUGACUCGGAUUGGGGGACCUCCCUUGGGAGAUCAAUCCCCUGUCCUCCUGUUCUUUGCUCCAUGGGAAAGAUCCACCUACGACCUCAGGUCCUCAGACCGACCAGCCCAAGGAACAUCUCACCAAUUUUAAAUCGGAUGAAGAAACUGAGGUCCAGAGAAGUUAAACGACCUUCCUAAGAUUACACAGCUUAGUAAGUGGCAGAACCACAGCUGGAAGCCAGGUCCUUCCUCACGCAAGUCCUGGCUCAUUCAUUCCUCUUCCAAAGACUUGCUGAGCACCUUCUAGGUGCCAGAUGCGGUGCUGGCUCCUGGGGACAUGGGAGUGAACAGGCCAGGCGUGGCCCUGAACCAUCAAAUAGACAACCACAGAAAUAACAACAACAAAGACAAAACCGGGCCCUUCCACACAGUAGCUGGAACACAAAGGAAGAUCAGCCAAGCCUCAACAUAAUCUCAUAAAAAUUCUUCAAAUAUCCCAUUGUUAUGGAUUCAUACAUCAGGAAAGCAGAUGCCAAGAACCUGAACACCUUCUACUGGUAACAUAUAUUUUGGCGAGCCAGCCUGGAGACAAGACCACUAUGGGCAACUUCCUGUCUAUUCUACCUGGUGUCACUGUGGACAACUUCCUAUCUAUUCCACCCGAUUCACCGCUUGGCUACAUCCUCCACCAUUGGGAUGAAUUUGACCCUAACAAUCUAAAGAAAAGGCAUAUGAUUUUUUACUGCAAUAUUGUUUGACACAAUUAUGAGCUGCCCAAUCCGGAACAAUGGGCAGUCAAUGGUAGCCUUAAUUAUGAUACCAUCCUGUAUCUAGACCUAUUUUACAAGAGGCAGGGCAAAUGGUCAGAAGUCCCACAUAUACAGGCCUACAUGACCCUAUACGAAGACCUAAGAAUCUAGGAAACUCCCAGAACCCAUCCCCCGAAGGAAAGUUCUGGGGCAGAACUAGAUAUUAUAGAUGAACCCCCUUUUACAAGGGAUACCUGUCUCUCAGAGUGAGCAGUGACUGUCCCCAUAUAACCCCUCACCAAGUGCUCCUGAGGCUGAAACCCAGGGGCAAACAUGGGGAACCCUACUAAGUCCCCCUCACACUUGGAGGGGAACACUGUAUUCAACUCUCUAUCCAGCCCUGCUACUCUCAGAGAAAUAGCAGGGGCUGAGGGGCCAAUCCUAGUGUGGGUCCCCUUCUCUAUGAUUGAUAUACAACAAUGUAAGGAAAAGCUAGGAAGCUAUUCUGAGGAUUCCGGGAAGUUUGCAGAUGGGUUCCAAACUUUGACCUUAGCCUUUGAUCUCUCAUGGAGAGACGUUCAAUUCACUCUAGCAACCUGUUGCACCUCCUCGGAAAAGGAACGAAUCUUUGAGGCUGCCCUCCGAGAAGUGGACGAAUUAUUCACCCAAAACCGUAAAGGCAGUCACCCAGGCCCAGCCACAGUUCCCACUACGCAUCCUAAUUGAGACCAAGACACCCCCGCAGGAAGGAACAACUGGGCUAAAUUUCUUGAGGCUCUUGGAGGAAUGAGAAAGGGAAUAACUAAGGCAGUAAAUUAUGAUAAAGUAAGGCAGAUUACACAAGGCAGGGAGGAAAACCCAGCUGUGUUUUACGGCAGGCUGCGGGAAGCCUUUAAAAAAUAUAUACUAAUUUGGUCCCUUCCUCUCCUGAAGGCAAGUUAUUAAUGGCACAACGUUUCAUUAGCCAAUCCACACCAGACAUUAGACGUAAGCUCCAAAAGCUACACAUGGGGCCACAAACUAACCAAAAUCAGCUUCUUGGUACUGCCUUCAUGGUGUAUAACAAUCGUGACCUGGAGGAAGGAGAAGGGAAACAGAGUAAAGAAAAACGGCAAGCCAAAAUUAUGUUAGCCAUCACUGGUGAUGCCCUAAAUGCACAAAGAUUGUCCAAGGGAAACUCAAAGGGCCAUAAGGAUAAUGCCAGCAAAGGCUCUUGCUUCAAAUGCAAUAAAAGUGCGAUUGGGCACAGGAAUCCACUAAGCCCCCGCCAGUCCCCUGCCGUCAAUGUAAAAGCACCAGUUGUGGCUCCUGGCCCUGGAGAAUUGACUGUCCCUGCUCCCACCAAGGGGCUCAGUCAGUCAAAACUCUGGCAGUGCACAAGGAGGAAUCAGAUGAAGACUGAAGGGGCCUGGGGCCUUCCUCACUGCCCCGUCUAGGAACAUUGUAAUUACUACUGAGGAACCCUGGGUAACUCUGGACAUCAUGGCCACCCAAAUUCAGUUUUUAUGUGAUACCAAGGUGAAUUAUUCUGUACAACUGCUUAUGCAGGAAAACUUUCCUCCCGGUCCAUGAGUGAUAUUGGAUGGAAGGGAAGCCACAAACAAGAUUCUUACUCCUCCUUUGGUUUGUCAAUUUGAGAAACAAAUCUUCCAACAGGAAUUUUUAGUAGUACCAAGCUGCCCAAUUCCCCUGUGGGAAAGAGAUAUUAUGGUGAAAAUAGUGACACUACUGCAAUUUAAGCAAUAUUAGCAGGUGAAACUGCUAAUAGUAAGAAAUAAGGCAAUGUCCCAGACCAUGUCAAUAAACAGGUUAACCCACUGGCAUGGUAUACUGGAAACCCAGGGAAGGCUAAAACAGCAGUGCCAGUCAAAAUACAGCUUAAAGACCCCAGCCAUUUUCCCAAUGGAAAACAAUACCCAGUUGAACAGGAAGCAAGCAAAGGUCUAGCUCCCAUAGUUGAGAUAUUACUUACCCAUGGACUCUUAAAACCCUGCAAUUCUCCCUGCAAUACCCCCAUCUUACCUGUUCUCAAGCCUGGGGGGAAUACCAGCUAGUACAGAACCUCAGAAUAAUGAAUGAGGCUGUUAUCCCCGUCCACCCAUUGGUGGCAGAUCCAUAUGCCCUCCUGGCUCAGGUGCCAGGGCAUGCAAAAUGGUUCUCAGUCCUAGACCUUUCUUCUCCAUUCCUCUGGCCCCGAGCCCCCCAGUACCUUUUUGCUUUCGAAUGGGAAAAUCCUAAUACCAGAUAAAAACAAUACACUUGGACAGUGCUUCCUCAGGGCUUUCGGGAUAGCCCCCACUUCUUUGCCUGAGCAUUAGAGCGGGAUCUGAGGGAUUUCAAGUUAGAAAAUGGAGGUAUUCUUCAGUAUGGGGAUGACCUUGUGUGUAGCCCAACCUAGGAGGUUUCUGACCAAAAUACUAUAAAAACUUUGAAUUUCCUGGCAGACAGAGGAUACAAAGUGUCCAAAAAGAAGGCUCAGAUUACCCUCCAAUGGGUCCACUAUUUAGGAUAUGUCUUAACACCCGGAACCCGGCAAAUAUCCCCAGAAGGAGUGCAAGCUAUAUGUGGUUUGGCCGCGUGCACCACCCCCAGCCCCCACCCUGACCCACCUCCAAGCAGCAGCUUUGUUCCUUUUUGGGGAUGGCCGGGCUUUGGAGAAUAUGAGUACCAAAUUUUGGGCUCAUAGCAAAGCCCCUAUAUGAAGCAACAAGGGGGCCUGAAAAUGAGCUAAUGGAAUGGACCCCGGAAAUGAGGAAAGCCUUUGCCAAGUUAAAACAGGUUCUCACCCAGGCUCCUGCUCUUGGUAUCCCAGACCUAAUUAAGGCCUUCUCCUUGUAUGUAGCAGAGAAGAGGGGCAUAGCUGUGGGAGUGCUAGCCCAGAAAUUAGGAUCAGAACCCAGACCAACCGCCUACUUCUCAAAAAAGUUGGACGGAGUGGCCUCAGGAUGGCCAAGUUGCCUGCGGGCAAUAGCAGCCACUGCUGUUAGUGGAGGAAGCCACUAAAAUCACCCUAGGGCAACCACUGGAAGUUCUAACGCUCCAUCAGGUAAAGUUAGUCUUAGAAAUAAAGGGACACAUCUGGAUGACAGGGGAAAUGUUAACUAAAUACCAGCCCAUGCUCCUAGACAAUCCAGAUAUAACUCUUAAAACCUGCAACACUUUAAAUCCAGCUUCAUUGCUGCCCACAGGCCCAAUAAUUGAUCAUUCCUGUGAGCAGGUCAUUGCACAUACAUAUGUUAGCCAGCCUGAUUUAAAAGAUGAGGCUCUCCCAGAUUCUGAAGCUGACCGGCUCACAGACGGCAGUAGUUCUUUGUCGAAUGGGGAGCACAGAGCUGGAUAUGCAGCAGUAAAUCAUGACACAAUUAUUGAAGCCCAGCCAGUGCCCCCUGGCACAUCAGCACAAAAGGCUAAAAUCAUUGAUCUUACUCAAGCAUUAAUGUUGGGACAAGGGAAAAAACUUAACAUCUAUACAGAUUCUAAAUAUGCAUUCCUUGUGGUUCAUGCUCAUACCGCCAUCAGGAAAGAAAGGGGAUUACUUACUAGCAAGCACUCCCCUAUAGAGCAUGGACCUGAAAUUCUGCAGCUAUUGAAGGCAAUACACCUGCCAAAGGCCAUAGCUAUCAUUCAUUGUAGGGGGCAUCAAAGGGACUUAACCCCUAUAGCACAAGGGAAUGGAAAGGCUGACGGAAGCCAAAGCAAAAGCCCUCAGCGUGCAAUCCCAACAGAUCCUAGCACUGCUUCCUUUCUACAAUUCCCCAGUAGAACCCAAAUACACACCACAGGAAGAACAGCUAAUAAAAAAAGCAAGGGAGACAAAAACAAGGAUCCUGGUGGCAUAUGGAGCCAAAAAUAUAUCUCCCUCAGGCAGCCCAGUGGAGAGUUAUAAAAGCCCUGCAUGACUCUUUCCAUGUGGGGAGGGAUGCGGCUCUGGCCAUGGUAAACAAGUUCUUUACUGGGUUUAACUCAGCUUCAAUGGCUAAGCAGGUCUGUCAAGCCUGCUCACUGUGUGCAUUUAACAAUCCAGGCAUCAAAAUGCCCCCUCUAAUAAAACCAGUCCAAAGGAGGGGAACUUAUCCAGGGGAAGACUGGCAGUUAGACGUCAUCCAUAUGCCAGCUUGCAGAGGAUACAAGCUUUUGUUAAUACUAAUAGAUACUUUUAGGUUGGGUCAAAGGUUACCCCAGAAAAGGCUAAUGAGGUUCUAAGGUCCUCUUAAAAGAAAUAAUUCCCCAGUUUGGGUUACCUCAGGGUCUCCAAAGUGAUAAUGGCUAAUCCUUUAUCUCCCAAAUAACUCAAGGGGUUGCUAAGGCUCUUGGAAUAAAAUACUAUUUACAUUCAGCCUGGAGGCCCCAAUCCUCUGGAAAAGUGGAAAGGGUUAACCAAACUCUAAAAUAAGCACUAGCUAAACUAUGUCAGGAAACAUCAGAAACUUGGGUUAGCUUAUUGCUCACAGCCCUUUUAAGAAUUUGUAAUACCCCUAGCUCAAAAAUUAACAGAAGCCCAUAUAAAAUGUUAUACAGAAGGCCAUUCUUAACUAAUGAUUUAAUUAUUGACCCAGAAAGAGUUGGUGUAAUUAAAUACCUAGUCAACCCAGAACAAUUCCAGCGGGUUUACAAGAGUUUGGAAUUCAAAGGCUCCUCACACUUGGAACUAACCAGCAACCCAAAAUCAGGCCAGGAGAUAGGGUACUUGUUAAAACAUGGAAUGAGGGAUCACCUGCCCAACAAUUACAACCCCAAUAGAAGGGACUUUUUUCAGUAAUACUGGCCACGUCUUCUGUGGUCAAAGUACUAGUAUUAGAUAGCUGGAUACAUCUUUCAAGGAUCAAACCAUCAAUACCAGAAGCUCCAGACCAGGAACCUGAAGUUCCCAUCAGCCAGUACACCUGUGAACCAGUGGAGGACCUGAAGUACCUGUUUAAAAGAUAGCCAAAAGAUAAGUAAAUGCCUACCAACUUUCUUUGGUGUCUUUGUUGCAUAGUUACUGUGGGCUGGAAAAUAGUAGCCAUUUUUAUCUUUGCAGUUUAAUUGCCUUCUUCCAAAUAGAUAAAAAUCACUUCCUUUGUAAUAAUUAAACAGAAUUUAAAAAAUACAUUUCUAUGACAAAUAUUCCUGAUGGCAUAAGUAUCCACCCCAAGGUUCCCAUUAAAUCUUUUAACCUAAAGUAUUUCCUCUCACCUAGAGAUCAUCGAGCUGUGUGACAAGGGUGCCAGCCACUCCAGGUGAAGACACCACCCCAGGCCAUCAAGGAUCUUCCCUACCUUCACUAAACAGAGCAGGGUGAAAGUUGUGUGAUCCCCAAUAGGUAGGGACUACACCCCAAGUCAGCAGGAAGCAGUUACAGAAGAAAGACCAUUGGUCCCUCUGCUUCCCAUAAAGAUUUAUGGGGAUCACAGCUUUCACGGGGGAGAUGAGGCAAGAGAAUAGGGCAUGCAGGCAGGGUACUUGAGGCCAAUCCACGCUGACUUCCUAGAACUGAAUUAAAUGAAAGCUCCUCAGCAAUGACAGGAAUGUGAAUGGCUUUGUAACUUCUUCCUCUCCAUUAAUGCUAUUUCCACUUUGUAACUUCACUUUCAUCCUCUCCAUUUACAUAGAUCACACACCAAGUAACAUCCUCUCCAUUUACAGUAGGGCGCAUUCCGAGUCAAUGACUCUGACUGCACUUCGUUCUCCUCAUUUACAUAGAACAUUCGCCAAGUAACCAAUGGGAAACCUCUAGAGUAUUGAAACUCCAGAAAAUUCCGUAAGUGGGGCUCUUGAGCGUCUACACUCGGGUCGCUCCCACACUGUGGCGUGUACUUUUAUUCUCAAUAAAUUCCCGCUUUUGCUUUCCUCGUUC
rnacentral:lncRNA from 1 species